AUACUCUGAGGGUCGCAUCUGGAGAGUUUACAGUAUUCUACCAGACUCAGCUAAGGGAGGGAGAGUCCAACAGAGGCCUACCCAUUCCAUUCCUAGCUUGGGCGGUGGCUAACGAGUGGAAGGCAAUCUGCUACAAGU